rnacentral:lncRNA from 1 species
AAAAAAUAUGGUAUUUUGGGGGUUUGGAACAGAUUAAUGGCAUUUCAAUACAUUUCAAUGAGGAAAAUUGAUUCGAGAUAGGAAUGAUUCGAGUUAUGAGCUCCGUCACAGAACGAAUUAAACGUGUAAGUCGAGUUACCACUGUACUUAAGAUUUUAAGGGGUGCUGCACUCUUUCUGAACAUUAGUGUAUAUGAUGUGAAAAUCAGAAUAUAUAAAAUAACAAAUGUUUCCAAAAUAUUAACAUACUGUAUAUAUUUGAAUAUAAGCUCACCCUCUAACUUCAGAAUUUGUAAAUCUGUAAAAAUGUGAAACCCAUGUAUAAGCCUAACCCCAGCUUUAGCACUUAAAAUUCAAUAAAAAUUUGCAACUGAUAAAUUAUGUGAUCUUUGAUUUUAGUUACCAAUAUAUUAUGUCAUUUGCCA